GACGAACGCUGGCGGCGUGCUUAACACAUGCAAGUCGAACGGACAGACCCUGCGUUUGUGCGUUGCUCGUUUGGCGAACACGUGAGUAACACGUGAGUAUCCUGUCCCUGUCAUUGGGAUAACUUCAGGGAACUGGGGCGCUUACCGCGGAGGAGCUCCUGCUGCAUGGUGGGGGUUGGUAAGAUUCGGCGGUGCGGGAUGGACUCGCGGCUUAUGCGCUUGUUUGUGGGGUAGUGGCUUACCAAGGCUUUGAAGGGUAGCCGGCAUGAGAGGGUGAACGGCGACAUUGGGACUGAGAUACGGCCCAGAAUCGUACGGGAGGCAGCAGUGGGAAAUAUGGCACAACGGGCGGAAGCGUGAUGUAGCAACGCCGGGUGCGGGAUGCCCGCUUACGGGUUGUAAACAGCUUUGGCAUGUGACGAAGCGUGAGUGACGGUAAUGGGUAAAGAAGCACCGGCUAACUACGUG
rnacentral:rRNA from 1 species